ACGUAUUAAGAGGGGACACAGGCACGGGACAAGUUACCCCAGCCUUCUUCCCCCCCUACCCUUCGCACUGCCUUUAAUCAUGGCAGUGCACUGCUGCACUGUAAAAUGAGCUUCCUGAGGUCCGAGAAGGGGACAGGGCCAAACGGCACUGAACUGUACACAGUGCCUUUCCAGCAGCAUGGGAGAAUGGAGGGGAAGAGAGCAGUAGCACAGCAAAAACAGCUUCAAGGAUGAGAUCUGAAAUGUUGUUGUGCCCAGAGUUUCAUCCAUCACAUAAUUAGCAUCCAUUAAGGUGCUGUGCCAAAAUCCACAGACUUGGAGGAAGCAACAAGAUUGACUGACAAUUGUACUGAGAAAUGGUCCCAAAUUGAAUAAAGGAAAAGUAUGGCUAAAUCCAACCAAUGAACAGAGAGGAAAUGAUCAAUUAUGUGUAUUCAAAGGAUAUGUACUCCCUGUAAUAAUGUAGGACAUCUUAUUUUCCUACAACAGCAGAGCUCAUUUAAAUGAGAGCUUUAGGACAUUUGCAAGGCACUUGAACUUUAAAAACAGAUUCUACAAAUAAGCCUGACAGGGAUGUAGCUGUAAUACAGCAUCCGCUGAAAUGGGAGAAAUCUCAACAAGAACUUGAUCUCAACAAGAUGGGUGAAAAUAUACAGCAAUUCAGAAUUAUGUGUAAGCUAGGACAAUCCAGCCAAUAGUAAAUAACAUUUGGUGAAAUUUAUGUGAGUGGAAGUCCCUCUCGGGGCUUAUAGACAUGGCAGCUUUUAAUAUUUAGCUGACCAUCUAAAUUCCUUCUGAAGCAGUGUUAAGCAGGCCAUACACCUUAAGAUUUUCUCCAACCAACCAACCAACAAAUUCGCUAGU